UGGGGAAUAUUGCACAAUGGGCGCAAGCCUGAUGCAGCCAUGCCGCGUGUAUGAAGAAGGCCUUCGGGUUGUAAAGUACUUUCAGCGAGGAGGAAGGCGGUAAGGUUAAUAACCUUAUCGAUUGACGUUACUCGCAGAAGAAGCACCGGCUAACUCCGUGCCAGCAGCCGCGGUAAUACGGAGGGUGCAAGCGUUAAUCGGAAUUACUGGGCGUAAAGCGCACGCAGGCGGUCUGUCAAGUCGGAUGUGAAAUCCCCGGGCUCAACCUGGGAACUGCAUUCGAAACUGGCAGGCUAGAGUCUUGUAGAGGGGGGUAGAAUUCCAGGUGUAGCGGUGAAAUGCGUAGAGAUCUGGAGGAAUACCGGUGGCGAAGGCGGCCCCCUGGACAAAGACUGACGCUCAGUUGCGAAAGCGUGGGGAGCAAACA
rnacentral:rRNA from 1 species